rnacentral:rRNA from 1 species
UACGGAGGGUGCGAGCGUUGUCCGGAAUCAUUGGGCGUAAAGGGCGCGUAGGUGGCCCCUCAAGCGUGCGGUGAAAGUCAGGGGCUCAACCCCUGAUCGGCCGUGCGAACUGGGGAGCUUGAGCACUGUAGAGGCAGGCGGAAUUCCGGGUGGAGUGGUGAAAUGCGUAGAGAUCCGGAGGAACACCAAAGGCGAAGGCAGUGUCCUGGGGAGUACCUGACGCUCAGGUGCGAAAGCCAGGGGAGCGAACGGG